CUCAAAACAGUUUACGUUUCCACGAUGUAGAUGCAGAAGUACUUGGGGAAAUUUUGUAGCCACAAAUCUGCUCCUUGUUUGGAAAACUUCCAUAAGAUAGCCUACAAUCAAAUCACCCAUCUCCUUGGAGACACAGGAAAUUGUACUUAGGAUCCAUGGGGAAUCUCAGAAUCUCCCUUUUCUAGGUCUUAUGUGCCGAGUACUUACACAACAUAAUGCAACUUUCUAUGCUCUUACUCCUGCAAACGUUUCCUUCUUGUGAAGAGGAGAGCCAUGUAAAUACAAGUUUUAUUUCAUUGAACAUUCAACCAUGUGAAAAUGGAGAAGAGGAAACUUUCCACUUAUUCAUCAUCAUUCAUUCUGACUGCUAAAGAGAUCCAGGCUCCUAACAGCUAAUAAAUGAAAUGGAGAGGUUUUAGAAGACAGUAAAUAAAUGUACAGGACACUGAGGGAGGUAUUUCUGAUUCCUGGCAAGUGCAAACAGUGAAUAAACAACCAAAGCAGGCCUUCUCAGUUAACACUUGGGCAAUAUCUGUUGUGGUCAUUUAAGAGCACUGCACUAUGUCUCCGCCCCAAAUAUUUCCUCCUCUUUUGCUUUGCUGACAAAAAAAUUUCUGCUUAAUCAAGGUUUUGGGUUUAGAGUAAAGGCUUUUAUGAAAUAAAAAUAUUAUGUAACCCUGUAGUUACACUGUGCAACUUUCUCAAGCCCUUUAUCAGAAAAAAACAGCUUUACACAAUGAUGAUAAAAACAUACUUGGAGCCCAGGAGAGGAUGUGUAAUCUCUCUUUAUUGUUUCUAUGGGUCACUGCUCAGUUGAUGAAGAGAGAGCAUUUCAUGGGUCUCUGACAGUCUUAUUGCCCUGAUUUUUAAAAAAAAAUUUUCUGUUCUAUCCAUUUCCUCUCUUUCUCUCCAUGGUACUGGAUCCUCUCCAUUCAUUCUUUGUGUCAAAGGUGAAGGAGACACAACAAAUCUUUGACUGGGGAUUCUAGACCUGUGUCAUCCAUUAGAGUAGCCACUAGAUACACAUGACUAUUGAACAUGUAAAACGUGACUAGUGUGACUGAAUUUUAAAUUCAGUUUAAUUUGAAUAAAUUUAGAUUUAAAAAUUGAAGCUGUUAAACACCACUAAACACAACUUUAUUAUUUUGGUAGAACUAUAUUUCACUCCAGCCGUUGAAAAUUUACCCUGAGUUGAGAUGGAUGAAGAAUGUCAAAUACACACUGGAGUUCAAAGACCUAAUAUAAAAAAAUAACAUAAAAUGUCUCAUUAAAAAUUUUUAUAUUGGCCUGGUGUGUGUAGCUCAUUCCUAUAAUCCCAACACUUUGGGAGGUCGAGGUGGGAGGACCACUUGAGGCCAGGAUUUAAGACUGGUCUGAGCAACAAAGCAAAAGCUCCAUCUCUACCAAAAAUAGUAAUAAUAAUGAUAUUUUUUAUUAUUAUAGAUAAUAUUUAUUAUUAUAUUGAAAUAAAAUUUUGGAUAAUUAAAAUAAAUGAUAAAUUAUUAAAACAAAUGUCAUUUCUUUUUAUUAUUUAAUGUGGCUAUAAGAAAAUAUAAAAUGAUAAAGGUGGUUCUCAUAAUUCUAACUGGGCAGCAUCUGGUUGUUUCAUUGGGAUAGCACUGAACUCUCUCUCUGCCCCAGACAUUUCUUCCACUUUGGCUUUGCCAAGAUGAUUGAAAAAAGGCUCUGGUUUGUUCAAGAUUUUGUGUUCAGAGUAAAGGCUUUUGUAGAAUAAAAAUAAAUAAUCCUGUAGUUAUGCUGUGCAACAUCCUCAAGCUCUUCAUCAGAAAGACCCAACUCUCCAGGUUCUUACAUUCUUCAGGAUGCACCCACCUACUGAACACAAGCCAUUCUCUUAGUUAUAUAGUUCGCUUUUCAUAGCCUAUAUUCAGUGCCAAGUGGCUCCCCUCCUUCCAGGGUGAGAAAAACAAGGGAUGGGGAACAAACCUCAUCCUGAAGCCAUCAUCAGUUCCAAUACUCAGCGUCACUGAGAAUACCAGAUCAAGUUGCCUUCAGCAGGGUGGGGAACAAAGACGUUGGGCCAAGGGACUUUUGAUGGUUGGGUUAGGAGAGAAAGAAGAGGAAGGUAUAGACAGAUGGGAGAAUACUCCAAGGCAUGGAAUGUUUUUAGGAUAGCUAGUUAGGUGCUGAUUUAAGAGAGAGGGGCUUAGGCAUGAGUAUGUUGGGUUUCUAGGAGGAAUGUAUAUCUUAUAAAUGAGA
ensembl:lncRNA